GUGAGUUAGUCCCUUGCUUUUAUAGUCACGCAUGGGGUCCUGCCGUAUAUGCUGACAUGACAUCUAUUCUCCGUAGCUUUCAUAGUGGCCUACCGUUCACAGUUCUCUAUUCUAAACUGCUCUGUACUAUCCCAUUUUAGAUGGAUUUUUAAUUGAGCCUGCGGUUGUCCCCAGUUUCGUAUUCUCUCAAACUCGGCGGCAGUAAGCUCGUUCGCCUCCUCUCCUUAUCCAUCUGGGUAAAGACUCAGAGGCCCUGACUGUUUCAGGAGUUUGGUAGCGCUCAGCCUGAGGGGUUGUCUUGGAAGACGGGAGGAGUGUUGAAACCCUUUCACGCGUGAAGUGACAUGGCACGGCGAGUUGAAGAAUAUUUCUUAUUUUCAUCCGGUCGGGUGACACCGUGUGUCCAACUCCGUACCGAGAGGAAGGUCAUGAGAGCCCACGUCACCAGGGGGCUCCUUAAUCCUCUGGUGAGCUCCUCCGAGUUCACUGUUACAACAGAAGCAAUGCCAUCCAUUUCGCUCAGGAGCCUUCAAGUCCAGUGUUUUAUAAUGACCUUUCUGCUGGGGGUAUUUGUUAUAUAAAUACAUAAAGAAUG